rnacentral:rRNA from 1 species
GAUGAACGCUGGCGGCGUGCCUAAUACAUGCAAGUCGAGCGAAUGGAUUGAGAGCUUGCUCUUAUGAAGUUAGCGGCGGACGGGUGAGUAACACGUGGGUAACCUGCCCAUAAGACUGGGAUAACUCCGGGAAACCGGGGCUAAUACCGGAUAACAUUUUGAACCGCAUGGUUCGAAAUUGAAAGGCGGCUUCGGCUGUCACUUAUGGAUGGACCCGCGUCGCAUUAGCUAGUUGGUGAGGUAACGGCUCACCAAGGCAACGAUGCGUAGCCUACCUGAGAGGGUGAUCGGCCACACUGGGACUGAGACACGGCCCAGACUCCUACGGGAGGCAGCAGUAGGGAAUCUUCCGCGAUGGACGAAAGUCUGACGGAGCAACGCCGCGUGAGUGAUGAAGGCUUUCGGGUCGUAAAACUCUGUUGUUAGGGAAGAACAAGUGCUAGUUGAAUAAGCUGGCACCUUGACGGUACCUAACCAGAAAGCCACGGCUAACUACGUGCCAGCCGCCGCCGUAA